GGCCUGUAUAGCCCGAGCCACUGUCGUUUUUGGUGGUUUCUUGGCGACAUUUAUAACAUUAAAGGAAAAUGUAUGUUCACCACGCUGCACCUUGGUCUGGUCAUUUCCCUGACGACGUUCCUGACAUAUGCCACCAGGGAAGAGACACCGCCUCAGCGGGAGGGUUGACAGACAUGCCACAAGAACAGGUGAGCCUGGUGUGGUGGAGGUUUCUGAGGAGCCAGGUCCUAUUUCAAAGACCUUCCAUGAUGCCCAAACACAGUGGUCAGACCCAGCAGAGGUGGACGACAUCUACUCCAAAGGACCUAUCAUCACAUGUGGCAUGACCACUGCACCAGCCCCUGAGGUCACUGUCUGUUACAUUGAAAGAUGAUGCCGACUGUCUGCUGUACACAGGGAUUCCACUAUUAGAAUUCGACACUCUUGUGUCUUGCUUACAAGGUUUUGCCCCCACAUCAUCAACAAUGCUGGUUGUAGACCAAAUUCUGUUGACACUAAUGAAACUUAGACCCAACUUUGUUAUAGACACUUCAAAAGGUCUUCCGGUCAGUAAAACGUUGAAAUUCUGGAAAGAUGUCAUUGCUGAGCACGCCAAGGAUCUCAUUCCAUGGCUGUCUCGUGAGAUGAUACAGGCUUUUCAGGAGCAUUUUUAAAAACACAAUCUGUUAUUGACUGCACAAAGUGUUUUGCAGAAGGCAAAAAAUGAAUCUUAGUCACUACUAUGCCAGUAAAAUAUCUAACUGCUCCAUCAGGAAUGGUUGUUAAUUUCAGAGUCUUAUGGUGGAAAAUGUAGUGAUAGGUUCCUCGCUCAUUUGCAUGCUGGAGAUGAGGUGAUUUUUUUGGGGGGGGGGCAUGGCUUCACAAUUAGGGACUUGCUAGAGGAAUGGAAUGUACGCUUGGUCUUACCAGCAUUUACACGCGAGCAAUGCCAGUUGACAAAUGAGCAGGUCACUCGCACACACCGCAUUACUUAUGUCCGUAUUCACGUGGAACGAGCAAUAAGGCAUCUUAAGGUGUACAAGACGCUCUCUCAAACUGUGCCUAUUAGUUUGGGCCCUAAAAUUGACAACAUACUUAACAUUUGUGCAGCUCUUGUAAAUCUGAGAAGAGAGCUUAUUUUUAUCAAAUGGACACAAUGUCUAACACAAUCAACAUGACUAACAACGUGCACUGAUCGUUCGUGUUCCAGAAAUGUACAUCACUUAAUUCCUAUUAAUGACCUGCAAAACAUUGUCAGCAUUUAUAACAUUAUUUUUAUUCCAAACGUAAGCUGUAUUUGUUUUAAUUCAUUGUUUUGUCAGCUCACAACUGCCUGUACCAACUUGCCUAUUUUUUUUCAAUGAGAAAUAAACUGGUGAU